GCUGCAAACUCUAGAAGUGUCCCAAGGGAAACUACGGCUUCUUGAUGUCUUACGUAAGAUACGAAGAGAUGGCAUAUUUACUGGUUUCUUCAGAGGGUUGUCCAUGCCUCUGUACAACAACUCCAUCCAAUUCUCGAUAUAUUUUGGCGUUUAUAGCCAGGUACUGAAAGAGAUAAUAAAAUGGCGAAAUACUUCAAAGUUGGCUUACACAGAUCACAUGGUUGCUGGUUAUGUCGGAGGGGUUUCGUCACUCAUCAUUCGGUGUCCGCUUGAUGUCAUUAAGUCGACGUUACAAACACAAGCCGGAAACAAACAGCGCGCCAAACAUGGCUCUCGGGUGUAUUACAAGGGAUCACUCUGCUGCCUGGAAGACGUCUACCAAAGCAAGGGUCUGCGCGGUCUAUACCGGGGCCUGGCCAUCAAUUUGAUCAUGCAAAUACCCACCAGUAUAACCUUCAUCCCGGCGUUCAUAUUCUUGCGGGAAAGAUUAUGUUCGUACUCUCUAUUUAGGCCGAAUGGAAUCGUCAUUGGAUGUCUUGCAGGCGGCAUUGCUGGAGCUGUCUUGUGGACCGCCAUUAUGCCAUGGGACGUCAUACGGACCAGGAUAGUAGCAGACAGCCUUGGCGUGAGAUACAAUGGAACUUUAGACUGUAUACGGAAGACCUACCGAGAAGAUGGCUUUAAAACGUUCUUUCGGGGGUUUUCACUGUCUGUAGUAAGAGGUUGUUUAAUGAAUGCAAUUAUGCUUUCAGUUUAUAUGAAAGUAUUGAUAUUUUCGAAUGGAAUUUCGAACUUUGAUCACAUCUAUACUGAUCGUUCUGAUGGACAUCGAUCAUGAUACGUGCGCACCUUCCUUUGUCAGUGGUAAUUGACCGGGUCUCGGUCAUCAAAAACACUGUGGAACACAGGAAACUGUGACCCGCUGUACGAUGAGGGUAUAUGAUUCCACCAGAGUCUUUCAAAUAAACGCAUUCAGUGGAAAUACCCUUUAGGAAUCAAAUCUGGUCAUACAAUAAAAAUUUUGCGACAACCUAACGCAUGCGGCAGUGCUUGUCGUUCCACAAUAAGGAUUCUGCUGCACCCAAACAAAGCACAAAUCGCAUGAGAUAUCGCGCCAAAUCUCAUUCAGUAGAAACCCGCACUGGAACCGCUGGGUUUGCUU